AUUCCAUGAUGAGGGCAUUUUCGUAACAAUUCUUUAAAUAUUUCUCACGCCUUAUACAAGGACUCGUCAUCUAUCUGUUGGAAAGCAGUGAUUUCAUUCCACAACUU
rfam:Gossypium raimondii chromosome 9, whole genome shotgun sequence.